GACGAACGCUGGCGGCGUGCUUAACACAUGCAAGUCGAACGGAAAGGCCCUGCUUUUGUGGGGUGCUCGAGUGGCGAACGGGUGAGUAACACGUGAGUAACCUGCCCUUGACUUUGGGAUAACUUCAGGAAGCUGGGGCUAAUACCGGAUAGGAGCUCCUGCUGCAUGGUGGGGGUUGGAAAGUUUCGGCGGUUGGGGAUGGACUCGCGGCUUAUCAGCUUGUUGGUGGGGUAGUGGCUUACCAAGGCUUUGACGGGUAGCCGGCCUGAGAGGGUGACCGGCCACAUUGGGACUGAGAUACGGCCCAGACUCCUACGGGAGGCAGCAGUGGGGAAUAUUGCACAAUGGGCGGGAGCCUGAUGCAGCAACGCCGCGUGCGGGAUGACGGCCUUCGGGUUGUAAACCGCUUUCGCCUGUGACGAAGCGUGAGUGACGGUAAUGGGUAAAGAAGCACCGGCUAACUACGUG
rnacentral:rRNA from 1 species